rnacentral:rRNA from 1 species
GACGAACGCUGGCGGCGUGCUUAACACAUGCAAGUCGAACGGAAAGGCCCUGCUUUUGUGGGGUGCUCGAGUGGCGAACGGGUGAGUAACACGUGAGUAACCUGCCCUUGACUUUGGGAUAACUUCAGGAAACUGGGGCUAAUACCGGAUAGGAGCUCCUGCUGCAUGGUGGGGGUUGGAAAGUUUCGGCGGUUGGGGAUGGACUCGCGGCUUAUCAGCUUGUUGGUGGGGUAGUGGCUUACCAAGGCUUUGACGGGUAGCCGGCCUGAGAGGGUGACCGGCCUCAUUGGGACUGAGAUACGGCCCAGACUCCUACGGGAGGCAGAAGUGGGGAAUAUGGCACAAUGGGCGGAAGCCUGAGGCAGCAACGCCGCGUGCGGGAUGACGGCCUUCGGGUUGUAAACCGCUUUCGCAUGUGACGAAGCGUGAGUGACGGUAAUGGGUAAAGAAGCACCGGCUAACUACGUG